rnacentral:rRNA from 1 species
AUUGAACGCUGGCGGCAGGCUUAACACAUGCAAGUCGAGCGGAGUGAUGGUGCUUGCACUAUCACUUAGCGGCGGACGGGUGAGUAAUGCUUAGGAAUCUGCCAUUUAGUGGGGGACAACAUUCCGAAAGGAAUGCUAAUACCGCAUACGUCCUACGGGAGAAAGCAGGGGAUCUUCGGACCUUGCGCUAAAUGAUGAGCCUAAGUCGGAUUAGCUAGUUGGUGGGGUAAAGGCCUACCAAGGCGACGAUCUGUAGCGGGUCUGAGAGGAUGGUCGGCCACACUGGGACUGAGGCACGGCCCAGACUCCUACGGGAGGCAGCAGUAGGGAAUAUUGGACAAUGGGCGGAAGCCUGAUCCAGCCAUGCCGCGUGUGUGAAGAAGGCCUUUUGGUUGUAAAGCACUUUAAGCGAGGAGGAGGCUACUAGUACUAAUACUACUGGAUAGUGGACGUUACUCGCAGAAUAAGCACCGGCUAACUCUGUGCCAGCCGCCGCGGUAACAC